GAAAAACGUUCUUCAUCAAAUUUGUUCAUCAUCAUCUCAUCUAUAACAUAUCCAAAAAUCAGUGCGAUCAGAUCUGUAAUGAAGUCUGUACAUCGAUCUGAGUAGAGGUAGCUCAGAAAUCAGCAGAUUUCGAGUUUCAGAUUUUCUUUAUCCUCUUUCCUUUUCAGGAUUUCUCAAAUUCAUUUGGAAAUAAUUCUAUUAUGAGGUAAUAUCAUUGUUCAGUUUAUAUUUCCUUCUCUUCCUACCAAUUUUAGAACUCAAUAUACUUUAUUGAGUAUCCUACUCAAUGAGGUCCUCUUAUUUUACCUUGCAUGUUUAAAUCGGAAGUGACAUUCCUUGAUAUAUGACUGGGCUUGGCCAAAUUUGUCUUGUCUCCAUCUUUUCCUGUCGAAUUUCAUGAGGGAACUCACCCAUACGUUUGAUUCAGUGGGCCUCCUAUAACUCAAAGGAGAUCAGUGGACGAUGGCGUUGCAUUGAUUAUCCACCCAACAUCGCUUAGCUUUGGACUCCAGUUGUGUGAUUGCAGGUACUGUGCACAAAGACGGGACAACUAGGAUUGACGAUGGGUGUGGCAUGCUUUCUCUCAAUUUCGAAUUUGUGUAUUGUCGAAAAGUUGUUCCCGUUAACAGGUUUUGGAUUGUGGAUUCCAAAUCCUAUUAUCUAUCUCAUGAUUCUACCUAUUUCAUAAUUCCUUGUUUUGUAGUAAGUUUGUAACAAUUGAUAAGAACAUCUUCUUCAAUUAUUUUCUGCUGGUUAUGUGUUUGCUAUGAAGUUAUUGAUUCAGAAAUUGCAUACUAAG